rnacentral:rRNA from 1 species
GACGAACCGUCCAAACGUUGUUCGGAAUCACUGGGCUUAAAGGGCGCGUAGGCGGAUGAGCAAGUCUGUGGUGAAAUCCCCCGGCUUAACCGGGGAACUGCCGUGGAUACUGCCCAUCUUGAGGAAGAUAGGGGCGUCUGGAACUAGCGGUGGAGCGGUGAAAUGCGUUGAUAUCGCUAGGAACUCCGGUGGCGAAGGCGAGACGCUGGAUCUUUUCUGACGCUGAGGCGCGAAAGCCAGGGGAGCGAACGGGAUUAGAUACCCCGGUAGUCCUGGCCCUAAACGAUGAGAACUGGAUAGCGGGCUUGACAUAGGCACGCUGUCGGAGCAAAAGUGUUAAGUUCUCCGCCUGGGGAGUAUGGUCGCAAGGCUGAA